rnacentral:lncRNA from 1 species
UGAGUGUUGACACACCGAAAUUCAGGAGGCUUCUGAACCCCGCAAAACAGGGGUCUGACAGAUCUGUCAGGGCACACCUGCUUUAGGGGACCGGCCUUCCUACCAGGAAUGCUCAUUUUUAAAAGCUUUCAAGAGCCAUCUUCCGUGUACACCUAACGUUUAAAGAAGGGGUUUAUUUUCAGGGCUGAUUUGUCCGGGCGCCUUGGGCGGCCCCGCUGUCCCGCGGGGCGCAGGAGCGCGGUGGGGCCGCGGCUCUGCCGGGCAGGGCUCGGGGGGGCUGCCCUUGCCAGGCGGGACCGGCAGCCCGAGCACUGCCAGAACACAACAGCCUGUGUAAUUGUUGCUCUCAAGUGAGCACCGGGUGCUUCCUGGCUCUGGCUGCUCUCGCUGCUCGUGUCUGUGUUAUGCAGGCGUCUGCUCUGCCGAGCAGGGCUUUGCGAGAAGACAGAAGAGGUUUGAUUGACCCUGUUGGGAGCGUGAGCUGUGGGCUCUGUGGAUGCUUUGCUGUGACGGAGGGCCGAGGGCUGACCAAGUCGUGGGGAGGAUUUGUAUGUGGGAAGAGAGGAGAUGGCUGUGCAGCGUGCUCCCGAAUCUGCUCUGAGCUUGCUGAUGACAGAGACAAAUAAGCAUUGAAGAGGAGUGAAGACUGAGGUGUAUGUAUGAAUAUACAGAACAGCUGAUGGGUACAAGUGCAUGGCUGUGCAUGGAUGUGAUCUCCUUCAUCAGGAUUCAAAGUUUGAAUUCAUCACCCUUCUCCAACCUGGAAAAAUCCCACAGUCCUCUCACCAAUCCUUCCCUUUCUGUUAAAUUUGACUGAGUUUUCUGUGCUCCAUUUUUUCAAUUUGGGCAGAGCUAUUUCAGGAGGUGAAACAUAAGUAAGCUCCAGAGCUGGAAGAAAUGCACUGUCUUUGGGAGUUCCCCAAAUGUGCCAUUUGACUCAAUGCCUUCUGAAGAAGAAGCAUCUCCUGAAAAGCAUCAGAGCAAACCUGCUGAAGCCAGGUGUCUGUAUAACCUUCUAUAAACUGGUCUGAAUUCAUCAGCAUUACAGUAGGCCUUGGGCUGGUUGUUAACUUACGUUUUCUGUGUGCUAUAAAGUUCUUGAAAGUCUUGCAGGGAUCUCUUAAAUACUGUUUUGUUCCCUAGGAAUCUCAUACCACAGGACCACAAGUUGUCUGCUGCUUGGCAGCUGUCAGGAAAGAGAAACAACAAUGAAAAAGAUUUUUUCCCCUGUCAAAUCAACAAGUGUUGCUAUGGACAACAUGGCAGGAAUGAAUUCUUG